UACGUAGGGGGCAAGCGUUGUCCGGAUUUAUUGGGCGUAAAGAGCGUGUAGGCGGCCGUACAGGUCAGCUGUGAAAACUCGAGGCUCAACCUCGAGACGUCGGUUGAAACCGUACGGCUAGAGUCCGGAAGAGGAGAGUGGAAUUCCCAGUGUAGAGGUGAAAUUCGUAGAUAUUCGCAAGAACACCAGUGGCGAAGGCGGCUCACUGGCCCGGUACUGACGCUGAGGUGCGAAAGCGUGGGGAGCAAACAGG
rnacentral:rRNA from 1 species